AUACUUACCUAGCAGGGGAGAUACUAUGAUCACAAAAGUGGUUUUCCCAAAACAAGGCUUAUGCUUUGUACUCUGGAUGUGCUGACCCCUGAGAUUUCCCCAAAUGUGGGAAACUCUACUGCAUGAUUUGUGACAGUAGGGGGGACUGUGUUUGCACUCUCCCCUA
ensembl:snRNA U1 U1 spliceosomal RNA